UGGGGAAUAUUGCACAAUGGGCGCAAGCCUGAUGCAGCGACGCCGCGUGAGGGAUGACGGCCUUCGGGUUGUAAACCUCUUUCAGCAGGGACGAAGCGCAAGUGACGGUACCUGCAGAAGAAGCACCGGCCAACUACGUGCCAGCAGCCGCGGUAAUACGUAGGGUGCGAGCGUUGUCCGGAAUUACUGGGCGUAAAGAGCUCGUAGGCGGUUUGUCGCGUCGUCUGUGAAAUUCUGCAGCUUAACUGCAGGCGUGCAGGCGAUACGGGCAGACUUGAGUACUACAGGGGAGACUGGAAUUCCUGGUGUAGCGGUGAAAUGCGCAGAUAUCAGGAGGAACACCGGUGGCGAAGGCGGGUCUCUGGGUAGUAACUGACGCUGAGGAGCGAAAAGCGUGGGUAGCGAACAGGAUUAGAUACCCUGGUAGUCCACGCCGUAAACGGUGGGUACUAGGUGUGGGUUCCAUUUCACGGGAUCCGUGCCGUAGCUAACGCAUUAAGUACCCGCCUGGGGAGUACGGCCGCAAGGCUAAAAACUCAAAU
rnacentral:rRNA from 1 species